GAGAUAUGUCUAUCUUUGCUAGGCCAAUAUCACAUUUAACUUAACUUAUUUAUAAUAGUAAUUAUAUUUUACCAUCUACAGGUAAAAAAAGGAUUUGAAAUCAAUUAACAAAGUGGUAAUCUUUUGCCAAAGAAAGACUCUGCACUCCGCAACAAGGAAAAAAACAAACAAAGACAUGCUUUCAAGCUAUACAUUGGAAAACAUCUCCAGAUUAUCCACGUCUCUCAUAGUGACUCCUACUCACCAGCAAGUUAUUCCCAUUGCGAAACAUCUAUAGACGCUUCCAAAUUCAACUACGAAAGUCAUACAGGAGGGACUCCUAUGUCACAAACAUAACCUUAUCAGUUGUCUUACACAGAAAAGGAAGUCAUUUUUCCACCAACAGUGGGAAAAGAAAGAGGGAAGGGGAGCAAUAUCUUAUUCUCUUCGUGAGAACUUCCGGAUCGUAAAAGCAUUCAGA